rnacentral:tRNA from 1 species
UACCCCCAGGGGAAGUCGAAUCCCCGUUUCCUCC